rnacentral:rRNA from 1 species
AAGCGUUAUCCGGAUUUAUUGGGUUUAAAGGGUGCGUAGGCGGCUCAUUAAGUCAGGGGUGAAAGACGGUAGCUUAACUAUCGCAGUGCCUUUGAUACUGAUGAGCUUGAAUGUAGUUGAGGUAGGCGGAAUGUGACAAGUAGCGGUGAAAUGCAUAGAUAUGUCACAGAACACCAAUUGCUAAGGCAGCGUACUAAAGUACGAUUGACGCUGAGGCACGAAAGCGUGGGGAUCAAACAGG